AACGAACGCUGGCGGCAUGCCUAACACAUGCCAGUCGAACGAGACCUUCGGGUCUAGUGGCGCACGGGUGCGUAACGCGUGGGAACCUGCCCUUAGGUUCGGAAUAACUCCCCGAAAGGGGUGCUAAUACCGGAUAAUGUCUUCGGACCAAAGAUUUAUCGCCUUUGGAUGGGCCCGCGUUGGAUUAGCUAGUUGGUAGGGUAAAAGCCUACCAAGGCGACGAUCCAUAGCUGGUCUGAGAGGAUGAUCAGCCACACUGGGACUGAGACACGGCCCAGACUCCUACGGGAAGCAGCAGUGGGGAAUAUUGGACAAUGGGCGAAAGCCUGAUCCAGCAAUGCCGCGUGAGUGAUGAAGGCCUUAGGGUUGUAAAGCUCUUUUACCCGGGAUGAUAAUGACAGUACCGGGAGAAUAAGCUCCGGCUAACUCCGUG
rnacentral:rRNA from 1 species